GCCAGUCUCUAAUCUCGUGAUCGCGGAUGAAGAACCAUCCCUGGCCCUACUUCAACAGAGCAUCAUGCUGUCUUCCGGGAGCGGCGACAGUGCUCAGGGAUGCUCCCAGAUGCUGUCAGAUACAGAUGUAGACCUUAGCCCAAGCACGGCCGCACAAGCUGACGACAGCUGCCUUACAGAUGCAGCAGCGAGCAUACCCAGGGCACCAGA